AUUGAACGCUGGCGGCAUGCCUUACACAUGCAAGUCGAACGGUAACAGGUCUUCGGAUGCUGACGAGUGGCGAACGGGUGAGUAAUACAUCGGAACGUGCCUAGUAGUGGGGGAUAACUACUCGAAAGGGUGGCUAAUACCGCAUGAGAUCUACGGAUGAAAGCAGGGGAUCGCAAGACCUUGUGCUACUAGAGCGGCCGAUGGCAGAUUAGGUAGUUGGUGGGAUAAAAGCUUACCAAGCCGACGAUCUGUAGCUGGUCUGAGAGGACGAUCGGCCAAACUGGGACGGAGACACGGCCCAGACUCCUACGGGAGGCAGCAGUGGGGAAUUUUGGACAAUGGGCGCAAGCCUGAUCCAGCAAUGCCGCGUGCAGGAUGAAGGCCUUCGGGUUGUAAACUGCUUUUGUACGGAACGAAAAGCCCUGGGUUAAUACCCUGGGGUCAUGACGGUACCGUAAGAAUAAGCACCGGCUAACUACGUGCCAGCAGCCGCCGUAA
rnacentral:rRNA from 1 species